GACAGAGGGUGCAAGCGUUGUUCGGAAUUAUUGGGCGUAAAGGGCGCGUAGGCGGCUGAGCAAGUCGAAUGUGAAAUCCCUGGGCUUAACCCAGGAAGUGCAUUUGAUACUGCUCAACUUGAGUCCCGGAGAGGGUGGUGGAAUUCCCAGUGUAGAGGUGAAAUUCGUAGAUAUUGGGAGGAACACCGGUGGCGAAGGCGACCACCUGGACGGAGACUGACGCUGAGGCGCGAAAGCGUGGGGAGCAAACAGG
rnacentral:rRNA from 1 species